UAAAGUGGCGUACGGGUGAGUAACACGUGGAUGAUCUACCUUUUAGUGGGGAAUACCGCUGGGAAACCGGUGACAAUACCGCAUAAGCUCGAGAGAGGAAAGCCGCAAGGCGCUGAAAGAGGAGUCCGCGGCCGAUUAGCUAGUUGGUAGGGUAAUGGCCUACCAAGGCUUUGAUCGGUAGCCGGCCUGAGAGGGCACACGGCCACACUGGCACUGAAACACGGGCCAG
rnacentral:rRNA from 1 species